rnacentral:other from 1 species
GAAAUCCUGAAAUGCACGACAACUUGCCAUAUUUGAACCUACAUUUUUGACUCGGGACUCCUAUAUGCGGCAGAUAUGUCAGGCCUCAAGCUAAUUCCCUUUGGGCAGAGGAAGGCAGAGUCUGAAGCUGCGGACACCCACCUGGCUGAGGCUAGGUGUCAAGAGGCAAGACCGACAUUUUGGGAUUAUU